rnacentral:tRNA from 1 species
GGGGACGUCGCUUAGCCUGGUUUAAGGCCCUUGAUUGUCGAUCAAGUGAUCGUGGGUUCGAAUCCCAUCGUCCCCGCCA